GCUUUGGGGAGAAAAAGGAAAAAUAAAAUCUUUAAAAAAAAAAAAAAAAAGAAAUGCAGGAGAAGUAGCUGGCUAUCAAGCAAUUGUCCUAAAUUACACAGAUCUAAGUAAUGCAAGACAAAACCUAUGGCCAUGUGCUAUUUAAAAAAAAAAAAAAAACCAGAAUAAUCAGUGCCCACAGCUAUUUCUCACACAAAUUUCUAAAGCAAGUUUCACUCUUCUUCUGUUCCUCUUGGAUAUCUGCGAAUUGUUUUGGGAUUUCAAAUUUAUUUAUUGUAAGUGCCAUGGAAACAACACCCAGAAACUAGGGGAGAGAAAAACUAACUCCAAGAGGGUGGAAAGAAGAGAAGAGAAGCAAAGACAUAAAGAAUGGGGAAUCUCUGCCGACUAUAGAUAGCAAUAGAGACAACAGGACUAGUGGAAGAAAGAAAAGAGAAUAUAAUGCAGAUCCCUCCCAUCUACUUGCAACCCACUGACGUGAUUUAACAAAAUCUGCUUCUGUGUUCCACGUAAUCAGCAUUCCCGUCCCCAUUUUAUUCAUUAUUGCUCCUACGAAGUAAGCACCACUACGUGCAAAAGCAUAAAAUCAAGCAUUUUCUGGAGACACACAAGGUGACACAACACUGCAGAAACUUCUUUAAGAACAGAGAUGUGAUGUUGGGCAAGCGGUGAGUGCAAGGCAGGACUGUGUAACUAAAUUUAAAAGAGUCACGUUAGAAAGGAAAAACAUAUACGACAUAAUGUGAACAACGGUUAUCUAGGGGAUAGAGUUAUGCCAGAUUUUCUUCUUUUUACUCAUCUGCAUUUAUAAAUUUUAUUUAAUGAACUUUAAUUUCCUAGGCCAUAUAAUAUACAUAAAUAUGAUAGACAAAUUAUGUUUAAUUUAUAUUAGAGAUAGCAUCAUAAUAAGUGUAUAUAAAUAAAUGCAUGUAUAUAUACACACGCGUGUGUAUGGGUGUGAAUGCAUUCUUUCAGAAGAGCAAAGUUUUCUUGGUGCUUUAAAUAUGCACCUCUGGUAAAGAUGUUAUAAUAUAAAAGUCAAAUAAGCAUAGCUCCAGGCUUUGAUAACUUUGCUAUACUUACUAGUAUUGCUGUCCCAAGAUCUAAGAGAUAUUUUCAAAGCAACCACCACUGCGAUAAUGCAGUGGUUAAUGAUAAGGAAGAGGAGAGUGUGGUCUGAGGUUGUAUAAAUAGUUUCUUAAUUUUGAAUAUUACAUUUUCUCUAAGGAAGUUUCUAAAAAAGCCCAAAUAUUGCACAUUAUUUCUGAAAGGAUCAAGGAGAGUUUUUUUCCCAAUCACAAGAUGGUUGCAGACAUCACUGCCUUUUCCCUUUCAACUCUUAGCGUGAUCUGAAAGUAGGUGCAAUCAACAAACUGCCUGGGCUUUGGGAUCGGACCUAAGGUAAAUCCCAGCUCUGCCACUUGCUAGCUGUGUGAGCUCAGUUAAAUUACUUCAGCUUCCUGAACCCCAUUUCGCCAUUUGUAAAAUGGAGACGAGGGCGCCUUCCUCGCUACACAGCUGCUGUUGAGAAAUGACUGAGAUCACAUUUGUAAACAAACACUCCUGUCAUAGUGCCUGGAACUUCAGUGGGGCCCAACAAAAUAAGAAUCCAUUGCCUUUCAGAGGCUUUGGAACUCAAAUGAACCUCUUUGAGGCCAGGUCUCUUCCAUUAGCCAUCAUCCAGCUGACAUUUCUGAGACAAGAACUCUCCUAGUCUAACGAGGUGGCUGCAGCUCCGGGGCGGGGGGUUACGCCAAGAACAUGCGGCCGGAUGCGCAGCGGGAGCAGGUACCACCGCUGAGCAGCGAGGCCAGGGUUCCCUUCCGCCCCAGAGUUCAGAAACUACCGUAGGAGUGCAAGCUAAGAAAGAUUACAACAGGAAAAAUCCAGGGCAGGAAAUAAAAAAAGAAGAAAACCCCCACCUGAGACAGUCACUUACUGUCUUAAGGAAUUCCCGGAAGGGAAACAAAACAGUUUCUUUUUCUGUGUAGCGAUAAGAAGGCAAACAAGCCUCUAGAGGCACAUCUAGUCCCAAGAUAACUUUUUCAAGAAAGAAACGGCGCGGUCUGAAGCCUCAGGGUUAACUGCCGCCGCGGGGCUGAUUUAUUCCCUAAAUUUGAGAACUGUGGGAAAACGUGCCAAAUUCAGACUGCAGGUUCUCGCAGCGCUCGGGCGCGCGCACAGCCACGCGCAGAAGCGGAGUCCGGGCUUGACAUGGUGCCAGAGUGUGCUACAUUUAGCAAUUUGGGUUUAGACAACGUGGAUUGUGAUAAAAUGCAUGUAAGAAUGCAACGAUGCUGAGGAAUACAGUAUUGAAAGUCACCAGAAAUCAGGAUUACACUGUGUUCUCUCAUCCGUCCUCAUGACAACGUGAUGAAGUAGAUGCUGUGUCAUUCCUGUUUCACAGCGUGUCUUAAUCGCCAACAAUGAGAGGAUUACACAUAAAAAUCACAAUGGCUGCCUUCUCUUAAAAAGCGGAAAAUCUAGCAACACUAAACAAGUGUGUCAACGAUGAAUAGGCACAUUGGCGGCUGACUCCUUUAUGGGGUACCGAGGUCCCCUGCUCAUUGGAGGUAUCACUCUGCCUUUUCAGUCAUUUCUGCAUUUGGAUAAGCGAAACUUGCCCUACAUUUUGGGACAUAGAUGAGCAAUGCACAGCAAAAAUAUCAUAUAUAGGUUGUGCACACUUCAAGAAAUUAAGAAUUAGAAAGGUCAAUCAAUGCAAUAAUAAUAAUCCUGUUGUUUAUAUUUUCUGGAGCAACAUCAGCAAACCAUAGUCUUAAGGCUUCUGAUUUUCAUUGAAUGAUAAUGCCUAAUACUUUCUCAUCGUGAUUGAGUAAACACUGUUUCAAGAUAAACACGAGGGGAAGAUCACAUAGAAUGUCAGAACUGGAAGAAAACUGAGAAGUGCAAGAGCUCAAACUUCCAUUUCAGAAAUAAGUUGUGGAGAUCCAGAGAUGUAAAGAUCUUGUCCCAAGUCACAUUAGCUUCUUGUUGCCAGAGUCAGGACGGUGGGAUUCCCAUGCCAGGGGUCUUUCUGUUACUCUGCGGCUAUUCUCUGCUUGCCUGUACUACAUUUUCCUCUGAUGUGUGUAAAUCAGCCAGGUUGGGAAAAGCAUAACACUGUUAUAGCUGUAUAUUGCAUAUUUGUAACAGUUGAUAUUGAUCUUUCUCAUAUUUUGGGGACUAGAGAUGGGCAGUAACACUCAUCAAAGACACUCAGUACAGUGUCAUUCAUACUCUAUUAAAAGAUUGGACAGUCAAACAGUUAAAAGGUACUUAAAGAUCUCUUCAAACUUUGCACAUAGUACAAGAAUCCAUUCUGUAACAGUCCUGAAACCAUCUUGCUUCCAAUUAAUUAAUUCAACAGACAAGGCGUGCUCUACCCUAUAAGGUAAGUCGUCCUCUGUGUUAUUGGGUUGGUAGAAACUUUCACCUGAGUUUCUAGGUGAAGGUAAGUGAAAACUGUUUCCUUGUAGACGUAACCCAUGGGUGCAGGUAUACUUUCACAAGGACCAUGAAGACGCCAGCUCUCCUCCUCCACGUCACUCCAGUGCGUCAGGCAGCCCUCACGUCUCCCUCAGGUCCUGACUUCUGACUAAGCCUUCUCAGUUACUCAGAGCCAUUUCUCUAUGUGGCCAGGCUUCUGGGCCUCUCACAAUCCUCAUCACCUGAUCAUUUCCUUGAUUAUUAAAAUGGAACACUUUGCUGAUCAAUGCCUUGCGAAACAAAUAGGUUAAGUCUCCAACUGCAGCUUUGCUAAGCCAAACAGAGAUCCACAUUGCGGAGACUUUCUGUGGCUUAUAAACAGCAAUAACAAGACACUUCCCCCUUGGUGAGAUGACUUUGUUAAUAGUUCAAGGCUUCCAUUAGUAACAAAUGAAUUUCUGAAUUAUCUUUUACCCCAUAAAAUCUCUCAACAGUUCAUGCGCCAGAACCCUCCCUGCUGAUUUCAUCUUCAACUUGCCUUUCCUAUAUUGUUUCUCUGAAGUCGGUGACUUUGAUAAGCUUCCAUCCUUUUUCCACCUUCCUGAGCGGGAACUUGGUUGCUUCUCUCCUGUUGUGUGAGGUACAUCCUUCUGAUAGCUUUGGGAAUGUCCUGUUUCUCUAAGAACACAGCUGGCCUAAUCCUUUGCUUUAAUCUCAGGUCCAAAGUCAUACAGACCUGAGUUUGAAUUCCAACCCCAUUACUCAGAAAUGGUAUGACCUUGGGUAAGUUACUUAAACUCAGCUUCCGUUUCCUGGUUUAAAGAAUGGAUAUAUUAAGAGUACAGUUGAUACCUGAUCCAUGCUAACUGGGUAAUGAAUGUUUGUUGUUGCUGUUAAUAAUGCUAUUGUAGCUCUGAACUUCCUAUACUGCUCAUAAGCAAUGUGAUCCUCUUCACACAGCCUUGUUUAUCCCAGGAUAAGUUGCUCCACCACAACACCGUUUCUCUAAUUGAAACAGCUGAUAUUUUGUCUUCUUUAGCUCACUCCUCAAUGGUGUCUAUGACUCCAGUCCGAAGCACUAUAUAUAUCCUCCUUGGUAUGGCUUUUUUCUCCUCCAACAUGCUGGGUUCCAAUUCCAAAACACUGGUGGUAAUAUUAACAAUUCUAUAUUUAUUCACUGUUUUGUGUCUAGAGGAUUCACAACUUGGUUUCUAGACUAAAUAAGUGACUAUCAGUUAGUCUCCACAGAAGUCCAGCAAAUCCACCCAUUCACCACGUCAUCCACACUUAGAGAGUCAGAGAGUCAUCGAGUUGAUGGAUGGAACCCAACUGGGGUUUCAAGUUGGAAAGAACCCCAGGACAUCACGUGAUUCUACCCUUUCAGCCCAGUGAUUCCCAAAUUCCAGUAUGUAUAAGAAUCAUUGAGGAUCCUAUCAAAAAUAGAUUCCAUUCCUGAUAAUUUAUGUGGAUACAUUGCCCUCAAGGAGGUGGAGUGUAACUCCCCAUUCUUUAAGUGUAGACCUUGAAUGGUGACUUCCAAAGAGUAUAGUAUGGAAGGGGGUGGGAGAAGAGUAACUUUACCAUAGAGAAAGCUGUAAACCUCAGUCAGGUGAUUAAGAUUAACAUCAAUUGUGAUAAGUCCUCUUGAUAACAUGUACACUUGAUAUGCAGUGAUGAGAAUGGCACUUUACCUCUGAGCUGUUCCUCCUCAAAACAUAUAACCUCAGUCUAAUCAUGAGAAAAUCAUUAGAAAAUUCCCAAUGAUACCUGACCAGUACUCUUCAAAACUGUCAAGGUCAUUAAAAAUAAGGAAAGUCUAAGAAACCAUCACAGCCAAGAGGAACCUAAGGAGACACGACAACUAAACGUAAUGUGGUAUUCUGGGUAGGAUCCUGGAACAAAAAAGGGACAUUAGGUAAAACUAAGGAAAUCUGAAUAAAGUAUGCACUUCAGUUAAUAAGGAAGUAUCACUAUUGGUUCAGUAAUUGUGACAAAUGUACCAUGCUAAUGUAAGAUGUUAAUAAUAGAGGAAACUGGGUGUGGGGUAUCAGGAACUAUGUACUAUCUUCAUAAGUUUUCUGUAAACCUAAAUCUAUUCUGAAAUGAAAAGUUUAUUUUAAAAAAUUUAUUCAAAGAUCUUCCCCAGGAUUUUUAUUUAGGAGGUGUGUUUGGGUGGGAGGGGGUUCAGCUUUGUGUAUUAUUAACACACAGUCUUGUUGAUGCUGAUAUAAUCAACCCAGAUCAUGCUUUGAGAACCCUGGUCUACUCUGAAGGUUCUCAUCCUUGGCUGCACUUUGGAUGUCUGUGCCCCAUCCCAGAUGCUCUGAUUUAAUUGAUCUGGAGUGUGGCCUGGGCAUUGGGAUUUUUUUAAAGCCCCUUAGCUGAUUUUAUAUGUAGUCAACUUUAAAAAUAACCUCUGUUCCUGUGAUGUCCAAUAUAGUGGCUACUAGCCACAUAUGGCAUUUAAAUUUAAUUAAAAUUAAAUAAAAUGAAAAAUUCAAUUCCUACCCACAUUUCAGUGAUCAAUAGUCACAUGUGGCUAGUGGCUACUGUACUGAAUAGUGCAGAUAUUGAACAUUUCCAUCAUUGUAGAAAGUUCUGUUGGACAGUGCUGAUCCAUAUAAUUGGUGUGAAGGGGACAUUUGUGGUCUUCUCCAGGGGCCUCUGAGAGGAAGAAUGCCUAAAGAGUCCCUGUGAGUAAUACGUAGGACAGGCCACUCUUAUCAUUGGUGAAAAUCAGGAUAACCAACUUGUCCUGGUUUGCCCAAGACUAUCUCAAGCACUAACAGUCCCACAUCCUGAGAAAUCUCUCAGUUAUGGGCAAACCAUGAUAGUCACCCUAGAGAUCCAAGGCUUUAGGGAAGAAGAGCUUUAACUAGUAGGAGGCUGGGAGAUUCGAGUCUAGUCAGGGAAGGAGGGAGGAGCUGAUGCUAGGGAUGUUUUCGCUCACUUGAGCCAGCUGGUGCCUGAAUUGUCCUGUGUGCCCAGGAUUUCAUGAGGCAGGGAUGUUGAACAGUGAAUUCACCUGCCUUUGCAUGAUGGUUAAACCCCUUGCUCCCUGCUCCCUUGGUAGAUCCUGACACCCAGGCCCCUACCUAACUUCUGUGUAUGUGCUUCAACUCAAUCCCUGGUCAAACCAAGACGUGUCUGAGUCUGAUUCUCUGCUCCACCGCUUACUAGCUAUGACGCCUUUUGCAAGAUAUUUAGCUUAUCUGAGCCUCUAUUUCCUCACCUAUAAAAGGGAAUAACAGUAUUGCUUAUGGCUGCUGUGAAGAUUAAAUGAGCUCAUGUAUAUAGAGAAAAUAGCUCAAAGUACUAUCUGAUAAAUAUUAGUUGAUGUUGUUAUUAUUUACCCUCUCCUCAGAAUACCUUUGACCUUUAUUGUUGAAAAAUCACUUGCUAAGCAUUUUCUGUGCUUGAUUCAGUUCAGUUCAGGAAAAAUUUACUGAAUGUUCCAGGCUCUAUGAAUGCAAAGAUGAAAUCAAUUUAGUCUUUGCCCUCAAACAUGUUAUAGUCUAGCCUGGAAGUUAGGUGUAUUAUUAUGGAGCAAUGUUGUGAGUCCUAUGAGAGAGCUGAACAUAGUGUGGUAGGGGCAAACAGAGAAUGGGGUAUGGAGGUGGGCAGGGAAGGCUUCCCCGGGGGUGGUGACACCUACCUGAGUUGAGGAGGAUGAGUAGAGCAUGCCAGAAGAAGAACUGGAGUGAGGGGCGAAGUUGGAAGGAUAAAUGGGGAAAGACUGUUCCAGGUAGAGGAACAGCAUGAGCAAAGGUCCUAAACUGUAAGCUAGUCUGAUUUGCUAGUGGAAAAGUCCAUCAUUCAGACUUUGCUGGAUACCUACUACUUGGGGGGUGGGGGGUGGGGGGUGUAAGGCAGAAGAAGCAGGCAAAAACUAAGUGCCUUGACAAAGGGACGAUAGCUGGCGUCUUUCUCCUCCGGGAAUUUAACUCAGCUUUUAAAGCUCUCUGUUCUUCACUGUUAAAUCUAAUUUCCCAAGUUAUCUUUUGGUGACAACGAGAAUGCUAAAAAUUGUUCUGCCUCCCCUAUCUAACAGGGUGCUAUUCUGCAAUCCAACAUGCAUUGCGUCCUUUUACAAAUAAAAUAAAAUAAAGCACUUGAAAGUCUUCUUUCAAUCUAGAAAUACUUUACGUAUUCUAAACCCUCUGAAAAGUUUAAAGGCAUAAACAAGCUUAUUCUGCUUUCCCAGUUGGCCUUUAUUGGAUUAUGGACAGACAGCUUUACAGUUUUUUGAUCCCUUUCCUAAGAUAGGACGCGGGCACUAUCUCUUAAGUGUCUAUUAAAUGUUAGUAAGUAUAUCUAACAUCAAUGCCAUUGGUUGAACAGGGCAGAUAUGAUUUUUAAACUGAGAAACUGCUACAAAUGCCUUGACGUGCAACAGGAAAUACAUUUGCGUGUGUGAUGGGAUGGACAUAUGUGGCAUUCAGAAUAAUGGCCUCCUCAACCUAUCCCUAUCCUCAUCCCCAAAACCUGUGAAAAGGAACUUUGCAGAUGUGAUUAAGUUAAUGUUGUUAAAAUGGGGAGAUUAUCCUGGAUUAUUCAGCAGGGCCCAGUGUAGUGACAGGGCCAUUCUAAGAAGGAGGCAGAAUGGUCAAGAUCAAAAAGAGAGAUUUGAAGAUGCUGCACUGCUAGCUUUGAAGAUGGGAAAAAGGGGCUGUAAGCCAAGGAAUGCAGGUGGCCUCUAGAAAGUACAAAAGGUGAGGAAACAGAUUCUCCCCCAGAGCUUGCAAAAGAAAGACAGCCACCUUGAUGUCAGCCCAGUGAACCCUGUUUCAAGAACUGUAACAUAAUAAAUUUUUGUUGUUUGAAACCAGUAAGUUUGUUGUAAUUUGUUCAAGCAGCAACAGGAAACAGGGUGUCACAUUCUGGUUAAGAGUUUACCUCUGAACUUUUAUCUGAGAAAGUAUCUCUCUCGCCUCUAGAUCUAACUUCCUCUUACAGAACACUUGGUGAUAAUAACAGCUAACAAUUACAUAGUCGUCUCUCCACAGGGCUAGUCAGUGCUCUAGGCACUUCUCAUUUGUUAACUCUUCACAUCUCAUUACCACCUUGUGAUAAGGUAUGAUUAUUAACUCUAUUUUUUUUUUUUUUCUGAGGAAGA